AACGAACGCUGGCGGCAUGCCUAACACAUGCAAGUCGAACGAGACCUUCGGGUCUGGUGGCGCACGGGUGCGUAACGCGUGGGAACCUGCCCUUAGGUUCGGAAUAACUCCCCGAAAGGGGUGCUAAUACCGGAUAAUGUCUUCUGACCAAAGAUUUAUCGCCUUUGGAUGGGCCCGCGUUGUAUUAGCUAGUUGGUACGGUAAAAGCCUACCAAGGCGACGAUCCAUCGCUGGUCUGCGAGGAUGAUCAGCCACACUGGGACUGAGACACGGCCCAGACUCCUACGGGAGGCCGCAGUGGGGAAUAUUGGACACUGGGCGAAAGCCUGAGCCCGCAAGGCCGCGUGAGUGAUGAAGGCCUUAGGAUUGUAAAGCUCUUUUACCCGGGAUGAUAUUGCCGGUACCGGGAGAAUAGGCUCCGGCUAACUCCGU
rnacentral:rRNA from 1 species